rnacentral:rRNA from 1 species
UACGUAGGGUGCGAGCGUUGUCCGGAAUUACUGGGCGUAAAGAGCUCGUAGGUGGUUUGUCGCGUUGUCCGUGAAAACUCACAACUCAAUUGUGGGCGUGCGGGCGAUACGGGCAGACUGGAGUACUGCAGGGGAGACUGGAAUUCCUGGUGUAGCGGUGAAAUGCGCAGAUAUCAGGAGGAACACCGGUGGCGAAGGCGGUCUCGUGGGCCGAUGACUGACGCUGAGGAGCGAAAGCGUGGGAGCGAACAGG